rnacentral:rRNA from 1 species
UACGUAGGGGGCGAGCGUUGUCCGAAGUUACUGGGCGUAAAGCGCACGUAGGCGGCUUUGCAAGUUAGAGGUGAAAGCCCGGGGCUCAACUCCGGAAUUGCCUUUAAAACUGCAUCGCUAGAAUUGUGGAGAGGUAAGUGGAAUUCCGAGUGUAGAGGUGAAAUUCGUAGAUAUUCGGAAGAACACCAGUGGCGAAGGCGACUUACUGGACACAUAUUGACGCUGAGGUGCGAAAGCGUGGGGGAGCAAACAGG